rnacentral:rRNA from 1 species
UACGGAGGGGGCUAGCGUUGUUCGGAAUUACUGGGCGUAAAGCGCAUGUAGGCGGCUUUGUAAGUUAGAGGUGAAAGCCCAGGGCUUAACCCUGGAAUUGCCUUUAAGACUGCAUCGCUAGAAUCGUGGAGAGGUAAGUGGAAUUCCGAGUGUAGAGGUGAAAUGCGUAGAUAUCGGGAGGAACACCUGUGGCGAAAGCGGCUCACUGGACCACAACUGACGCUGAUGCACGAAAGCUAGGGGAGCAAACAGG